GCUGCUGUACAGGUGAGGUGAGGCUGCUGUACAGGUGAGGUGAGGCUGCUGCACAGGUGAGGUGAGGUUGCUGUACAGGUGAGGUGAGGCUGCUGCACAGGUGAGGUGAGGCUGCUGCACAGGUGAGGCUGAGGCUGCUGUACAGGUGAGGUGAGGCUGCUGCACAGGUGAGGUGAGGCUGCUGCACAGGUGAGGCUGAGGCUGCACAGGUGAGGUGAGGCUGCUGCACAGGUGAGGUGAGGCUGCUGCACAGGUGAGGCUGAGGCUGCACAGGUGAGGUGAGGCUGCUGCACAGGUGAGGUGAGGCUGCUGCACAGGUGAGGUGAGGCUGCUGCACAGGUGAGGUGAGGCUGCUGCACAGGUGAGGUGAGGCUGCUGCACAGGUGAGGCUGAGGCUGCUGCACAGGUGAGGCUGAGGCUGCACAGGUGAGGUGAGGCUGCUGUACAGGUGAGGUGAGGCUGCUGCACAGGUGAGGUGAGGCUGCUGCACAGGUGAGGUGAGGCUGCUGCACAGGUGAGGUGAGGCUGCUGCACAGGUGAGGCUGAGGCUGCACAGGUGAGGUGAGGCUGCUGCACAGGUGAGGUGAGGCUGCACAGGUGAGGUGAGGCUGCUGCACAGGUGAGGUGAGGCUGCUGCACAGGUGAGGUGAGGCUGCUGCACAGGUGAGGUGAGGCUGCACAGGUGAGGCUGCUGCACAGGUGAGGUGAGGCUGCUGUACAGGUGAGGUGAGGCUGCAUAGGUGAGGUGAGGCUCCACAGGUGAGGCUGCUGCACAGGUGAGGCUGAGGCUGCACAGGUGAGGUGAGGCUGCUGCACAGGUGAGGUGAGGCUGCUGCACAGGUGAGGCUGAGGCUGCUGCACAGGUGAGGCUGAGGCUGCACAGGUGAGGUGAGGCUGCUGCACAGGUGAGGCUGAGGCUGCACAGGUGAGGCUGAGGCUGCUGCACAGGUGAGGCUGAGGCUGCUGCACAGGUGAGGCUGAGGCUGCUGCACAGGUGAGGCUGAGGCUGCACAGGUGAGGUGAGGCUGCUGUACAGGUGAGGUGAGGCUGCUGCACAGGUGAGGUGAGGCUGCUGCACAGGUGAGGUGAGGCUGCUGCACAGGUGAGGUGAGGCUGCUGCACAGGUGAGGCUGAGGCUGCUGCACAGGUGAGGUGAGGCUGCUGCACAGGUGAGGUGAGGCUGCUGCACAGGUGAGGUGAGGCUGCUGCACAGGUGAAGCUGAGGCAGGUGAGGCUGCUGCACAGGUGAGGCUGAGGCAGGUGAGGCUGCUGCACAGGUGAGGCUGAGGCAGGUGAGGCUGCUGCACUUCUGGCCCAGGUGAGAAUUUAGUCAAGUAGACACAGACACACACCAGAAUAGGUAGGUGGAAGGUUGUAGAAGUGACACACAAAGGGGAUUCUUUUAUCACUAUUGUAUGACACUAUUUCUGAGGACACAUGAGCAAAAACCAGACUUAACUCAGAUACAACACAGGUAACAGACAAAGUAAGGACACUGAAAGUGCAACUUGGUAAACCAGUGAUUUCUGUUGGGGUUCCUCUCAGGAAUAUGGUGAGGGGUCACGGGUGCAGAAAUGACUCAGAGACAGCUGCAUUGCAGAGGCCUGUCCCAGUCUGGGAGACUGACUGCUCACAGAGCUGGGAACUGAAGCAACUGCACAACCUGCGGGCAGCUCAGCAGGUUACAGCGCCUUCCAGAUAGAUCGAUGAUCUGAGCUGCUUUCAGGCUACUCUGCUGGUCCGAGGGUGUCUGUGUGCUGGUCUGAGGGUGUCUGCUGGUCUGAGGGUAUCUGUGUGCUGGUCUGAGGGUGUCUGACUGCUGGUCUGAGGGUGUCUGUGUGCUGGUCUGAGGGUGUCUGUCAGCAGUCCUUACUGCUUAUAUGCAUUUUUGUAGAGAAGAGACCUAGUAUAUGUGGUAGGUUUAGGAAUGUCCUGGAGCUUUU